UGCUCCCGUUGGUUAGCGGCGGACGGGUGAGUAACACGUGGGCAACCUGCCUGUAAGACUGGGAUAACUUCGGGAAACCGGAGCUAAUACCGGAUAAUUCUUUUCCUCUCAUGAGGGAAAGCUGAAAGUCGGUUUCGGCUGACACUUACAGAUGGGCCCGCGGCGCAUUAGCUAGUUGGUGAGGUAACGGCUCACCAAGGCGACGAUGCGUAGCCGACCUGAGAGGGUGAUCGGCCACACUGGGACUGAGACACGGCCCAGACUUCUACGGGAAGCAGCAGUAGGGAAUUUUCCACAAUGGACGAAAGUCUGAUGGAGCAACGCCGCGUGAGCGAUGGAGGCCUUCGGGUCGUAAAGCUCUGUUGGUAGGGAAGAACAAGUAUCGGAGUAACUGCCGGUACCUUGACGGUACCUAACCAGAAAGCCACGGCUAACUACGUGCCAGCAGCCGCGGUAAUACGUAGGUUGCAAGCGUUGUCCGGAAUUAUUGGGCGUAAAGCGCGCGCAGGCGGUCCUUUAAGUCUGAUGUGAAAGCCCACGGCUCAACCGUGGAGGGUCAUUGGAAACUGGGGGACUUGAGUGCAGAAGAGGAAAGCGGAAUUCCACGUGUAGCGGUGAAAUGCGUAGAGAUUUGGAAGAAACACCAGUGGGCGAAGGCGGCUUUUCUGGUCUGUAACUGACGCUGAGGCGCGAAAGCGUGGGGGAGCAAAACAGGAUUAGAUACCCUGGUAGUCCACGCCGUAAACGAUGAGUGCUAAGUGUUAGAGGGUUUCCGCCCUUUAGUGCUGCAGCUAACGCAUUAAGCACUCCGCCUGGGGGAGUACGGCCGCAAGGCUGAAACUCAAGGAAU
rnacentral:rRNA from 2 species